rnacentral:tRNA from 1 species
GGUCCCGUAGUGUAGCGGUUAUCACGUCGCCGUGUCACGGCGAAGAUCGCGGGUUCGAUUCCCGUCGGGACCG